rnacentral:rRNA from 1 species
UUGGGUACUCUAUUAAGACUGCCGCUGACAAGGCGGAGGAAGGUGGGGACGACGUCAAGUCAUCAUGGCCCUUACGACCAGGGCUACACACGUGCUACAAUGGGUAUUACAGAGGGCUGCGAAGGUGCGAGCUGGAGCGAAACUCAAAAAGGUACUCUUAGUCCGGAUUGCAGUCUGCAACUCGACUGCAUGAAGUCGGAAUCGCUAGUAAUCGCAGGUCAGAAU